rfam:Triticum aestivum genome assembly, contig: Triticum_aestivum_CS42_TGACv1_scaffold_378245_5AL
UACCUACUCCCUCCGUUCGGAAUUACUUGUCUCGAAAAUGGAUUGUAUCUAGAUGUAUUUUAGUUCUAGAUACAUCCAUUUCCGAGACAAGUAAUUCCGAACGGAGGGAGUACUUG